rnacentral:precursor_RNA from 15 species
AUUAUAUCCGUAGUGUUGUCCACAAUAGACCUUAGUUUUCGACGUGUUUUGGUGUGCUGGGGAGUUCUAUUCCGAUUGAAACCGUCCAAAACUGAGGCCAACUGUGAGGCGCGAGCAUCUAUCCAAAA